ACACAUGCAAGUCGAACGAGAAUCUGCUGAAGGAGGAUUCGUCCAACGGAAGUAGAGGAAAGUGGCGGACGGGUGAGUAACGCGUGAGGAACCUGCCUUGAAGAGGGGGACAACAGUUGGAAACGACUGCUAAUACCGCAUGAAGCAUAGGGGUCGCAUGAUUCUUAUGCCAAAGAUUUAUCGCUUCAAGAUGGCCUCGCGUCUGAUUAGCUAGUUGGCGGGGUAACGGCCCACCAAGGCGACGAUCAGUAGCCGGACUGAGAGGUUGAACGGCCACAUUGGGACUGAGAUACGGCCCAGACUCCUACGGGAGGCAGCAGUGGGGAAUAUUGGGCAAUGGGCGCAAGCCUGACCCAGCAACGCCGCGUGAAGGAAGAAGGCUUUCGGGUUGUAAACUUCUUUUAAGAGGGAAGAGCAGAAGACGGUACCUCUAGAAUAAGCCACGGCUAACUACGUGCCAGCAGCCGCGGUAAUACGUAGGUGGCAAGCGUUGUCCGGAUUUACUGGGUGUAAAGGGCGUGCAGCCGGGUCUGCAAGUCAGAUGUGAAAUCCAUGGGCUCAACCCAUGAACUGCAUUUGAAACUGUAGAUCUUGAGUGUCGGAGGGGCAAUCGGAAUUCCUAGUGUAGCGGUGAAAUGCGUAGAUAUUAGGAGGAACACCAGUGGCGAAGGCGGAUUGCUGGACGAUAACUGACGGUGAGGCGCGAAAGUGUGGGGAGCAAACAGGAUUAGAUACCCUGGUAGUCCACACUGUAAACGAUGAAUACUAGGUGUGCGGGGACUGACCCCCUGCGUGCCGCAGUAAACACAAUAAGUAUUCCACCUGGGGAGUACGAUCGCAAGGUUGAAACUCAAAGGAAUUGACGGGG
rnacentral:rRNA from 1 species